UUGUGUUUUGUUGACGAAGGUUCUUGAGGAAGUCGUAAUGGGAGUGUGUCAGUAGAGGUUGACAGUGACUCCAUAUAGACCGUGGAAUGUGCCAGGAGUAAAGUUGUGCAAAGAGAACCUCCCCCCAUCACCACACACUGCCCGCCCGACACCACGCCCGGGCUGCUACUUAUCCACCCUGCACGAACAAUUCAAGAUGAGGGCAAUAAUAGACAAUAUUGAAUGUCAGAGAGACUCUCCUAGGUUUAGGCAAGUCUUGGAAGAAAAUGAGAAAGACUUGGAUAUAUUGGAAAGCAAACUGGAAAAGGUAGUGAAGCAGUGCAAUCAGAUGGUGGCUGCAGGGAAGCAGUUCAAUCAAGAACAAGAGCAGUUGAUUCAUACCCUGUGGGACUGUGCUGGAUAUUUUAGUGAUGACUCAAGUGUGCAGGCAGCGCUGAACCGCAUGUUGUCUGCUCUCAGGGAAGCUGCCAAAUACCAUGUGAUACUUGUUGAUCAGGCUGCAAGGGCAGUCACCAAAAAUCUAUCAAGCUUCAUUAAAAAUGAGCUACAUAAAGUGAAAGAUCUGAGGCAUUACUUUGAGAAGGUCAGUGGAGAUAUGGAUAGUGUGUUGCAUCGUGCAUCGGGUGUGUCUCGCACUCGCACACAAGAUGUAAAUGAUAUAAACAAUCUGGUCAUCGCCACUCGGAGGGCCUUCCGUCACACUGCUGUUGACUAUGUGCAUGCCAUGUCUAUUGCCCAAGGCAAGAAACGGCACGAAGUAGUUGGUGCUUUGCUAUCUUAUUUGAAGGCCUACAGUACCUUCUACCAUCAAGGGACUGAUCUGUGUGAUGACCUGAAACCUUCCCUGGAAAAGAUCAGUGAAGAGGUAAACUUAAUGAGACAAGAAGUGAGUGAUUUGGACAAGAACAUGGAAAAUCGACACACUGAUGUCACAGACAAGGACUUGGUGCUAUCUGUGGACCAGCUAGACAACUCUCAGCCUGUCACUAUGUAUGGUUAUCUUUUCAAGCGAACCACUAAUGCUUUCAAAUCCUGGAAUCGUAGGUACUUCACACUGCAGAAUAACCAGCUUGUUUACCGAAAGCGUUCAGGUGUUCGAAAAUCUGUCAGGAACUCAGGAGGAAGUAAUCUGCUCAAUAGUGGUUUGACAAGAUCAAAUGAAGGAGAGGAAGUGACAGUGAUGGAAGAAGAUCUUCGCCUGUGCACCGUUAAAGCAGCAGUUGAUGUGGAUCGCAGGUUUUGUUUUGAAGUUGUGUCGCCAUUUAAAUGUCACAUGCUUCAGGCUGAGAGUGAAGAAAGCUACAAUUCAUGGAUUAGCGCUUUGCAGCGUGGUAUUGGUCAAGCCUUGCAGUUAAGUUCCCAUGAGAAUAGCUUCACCUUUGGGAAUGACACGCCAUCUCCUCUUAAUCCUCCGAAGGGACCAGGGGCAACCACUACACCAGGCGACUCGAACAACUCAUCCCCUGCCACUACACCCCAGGCAUCUACUGCACAUAAGGCUCACUUGUGGCAAGAGUUGAUGAGCAUCCCAGGAAAUGACCUAUGCUGUGAUUGUGGUGCAAGUAAUCCAAGAUGGGCUUCAAUAAAUUUAGGAGUCACACUUUGUAUUGAAUGUUCUGGGAUUCACCGAAGCCUAGGAGUGCAUUAUUCCAAGGUACGGUCACUAACAUUGGAUGCUUGGGACCCGGAGAUGGUGAAGGUGAUGCAUGACCUAGGAAACUCUGUAAUCAAUAGGAUCUACUUGGCCACAUAUAUACCAGGAGAAGGCUCAGGGCCUCCUGCAGCUAAACCUGACAGUCAAAGAUCAGUUAGGGAAGAUUGGAUCAAAAUGAAAUAUGUUGAACGACGAUAUGUGAAGCCUUUGCCUACAGCAUCAGAGACUGAAAAAAAUUCAAACCAACGAAGGACUUGGGGCAUUCCUCGCAGGCAACGUCAUUUAAGGGCUCCAAGAGUGUCAAAAUCAAGCAGUGGCAGUCUAGAUGCCUCACUCAGUAGUGCUGGGGAUACUCAUGACCAUGAAGAAUCUCACUCUGAAAUAACAAAUAUAUCCCCUGAAGCUGAUACUCCCACAGCAGAUGUAUUACUUCUGAACAUUGAUGUUCAGUCUCCUGCUAGAGAUGCACAAGAGAUCUUAGAGACAAGUGAUGACUACUCCACUGACAACAGGAAUCUUAAUAAUGUUACGGAAGAACCAUUGUCAAGUUUGCACCCAGAUAUGGUGUUGUAUCGUGCAAGUGAAGCUGACAACCUGGGUAUGAUAAGCUAUGGCCUGGCACUGGAAGCUAACAAGAACUGGCAUAAUCCAGAAGAUAAUGGACAAACUCCACUUCAUCAGGCAGUGGCUAGUUGUUCAGUAAGGCCAGUUCAGCACCUUCUGACUAAUGGAGCAAAAGUCAAUGAACAAGAUUGCAGUGGUCGCACACCUUUACACCUUGCUGCUUUGAAGUCCAACAUUGGUCAGGUGGUUUAAUGCAGAAGAUCGUCAGCAUAGCCUCACAAUACAGAGUAAUCAUCUCAAAACACUAUAUUACGAUGUAACUAUUGAUUUACCAUGCUUCUACUGUACUCUUUGUAUUUUUCUAUUGUAAUUUUACUAUGGCAUUUCUUUAUAAUUACUUGAGUAUGUGACUAACAUCAUUAUAUAGAGCAAAAUAUAGUUGCCUGAUAUACCAAGCUCUCAUCUUUAGACUUUUUUUUAUACAGCACAAAACCUGAACACAAAUUUCACCUUGCUUCUACAGAGGUUAAUGCUUCACAAUGAAAGUGUAGCGCAGUUUUAUUUUUAUGAGGAAAAAGAAAAUUUGUUGGUGAAUCCAAAAUAGCUGCAGUGCUUUCAUCACUGUAUCCCUAAGCUUUGUCUUGCCAUGGACUGAACAUGGUGAGGCUUAAAAAAAAAAAUAAAUAAAUAAAUAAAAAAAUAAAAAAAUCAGGAUGGCCACUGUUAGCUAACAUCGUUAAGUCUGUACGUCACAAAACGUCUAUGCUGAAGAAUUACUUGUUAUUAUUUUGGGUGGCAAGUUAUUAUUUUGGGUGGCAAGAGACAUUCUCAUUAUCAGACUUUGAUUUUUAAGUUAUGAAAAUAAAUUCAUAUAUGGGGCUUUAUAUGCUCAUAGUUUCUUGUAGUUUACUUCCUAACACAGAAGAAAAAAUAUCUUACUGAUUUUGAGUUAUCAUUUGAAGAGCAACGUAAUUAUUGUCCCAAGGAUAGAGAUGAUAUAAAAAAACAAUGCAUGUAUAUAACCUCAAUUCUGUUAAAGCAUUUAUGUCAUAGAUACAUGUUUAACAAUACUUAAGCUUUUUUAAUAUUUUGGUAUGUUAUAGUGGAAUAUCCAAAAAUAUACAAUAUGCGUGGAAAGGACUGAAAACCUUAUGCGGUUAUAAAGAAAAGUUUAAUAUACCACAUCCACAAGACAUUAAUACUUAUAUUAAUGAAAUGAAUACCUUUUUUGCCAGGUUUGAGAGGCAUGAUUUUAGGAAGGAGUGUAAUGAUACAAUGUCAGCUAUCCGAAAUAUUACAGAUGAAAGAAUUUUAAUAACAGAGGAACGCGUUCUGCAAUCCCUGAAGCGGGUCUGAGCUGGCAAAGCCAUGGGCCCUGACGGCGUGCCAGCCAGGGCACUCAAGUGCUGUGCAGAACAACUGGCGCCACUGCUAAGGUCACUCUUUCAGGACUUUAUAGAUCAGGGCGUUGUGCCAACCAAAUGGAAAGAGUCGGAAAUCAAACCCAUAGCGAAGGUGUGUCUGUUUCUGAAACACAGAGUGGACUUGAACA
rnacentral:misc_RNA from 1 species